GGCCUGAUAGUGCAAUGGUAACACAUCCCACCUUGCUAGGAUGUAUGCUGCAAAGAUCAUUUCAUGGGAAGACCCUUGUUCGACUCAAGGUCAGGCCA